GCCCCGGUAGUGCAGUGGUAGCAGACGCCCCUCAUAUGGGUGAAGUGCGGGUUCAACUCCCGCUUGAGGUC